rnacentral:rRNA from 1 species
GACGAACGCUGGCGGCGUGCCUAAUACAUGCAAGUCGAACGCUGAAGGAGGAGCUUGCUCUUCUGGAUGAGUUGCGAACGGGUGAGUAACGCGUAGGUAACCUGCCUGGUAGCGGGGGAUAACUAUUGGAAACGAUAGCUAAUACCGCAUAAGAGUAGAUGUUGCAUGACAUUUACUUAAAAGGUGCAAUUUCAUCACUACCAGAUGGACCUGCGUUGUGUUAGGUAGGUUGGGGGGUAACGGCUUACCAAGGCGACGAGACAUCGCCGACCUGAGAGGGGGGACGGCCAAACUGGGACUGGGACACGGGCCAGGCGCCUACGGGAGGCAGCAGUAGGGGAUCUUAGGAAAUGGGCGGAAGGCUGACCGAGGAACGCCGGGUGAGUGGAGAAGGUUUUCGGGUCGGAAAGGUCUGUUGUAGGAGAAGAAAGAGUGUGAGAGUGGAAAGUUCACACUGUGACGGUAUCUGAAGAGAAAGGAACGGCUAACUACGUG